GGAAGGGCCCGGGCGGUCGUGCGCCUUUGGCGUAAGGAAAGUCCGGACUCCGCAGGGCGCGGCGUCCGCCGAAAGGCGGAAGUUCGCCAAAAGGCGAAUAUGGAAAGUGGCACAGAAACAAGGUAUCCGCCUCACAAGGCGGGUAGUGAAAAGGCUAAACCCCGCCGGGAGCAAGGCCAAGCAGUCCCGCAGUUCUUCCGUAAUUACGGAAGAUAAAAAGCUGCCCGUUAUAUCGCGGGACGGGUAGGCCGCAUUAGAUGAAUGACCGCAAAAAAACAGAAUCCGGCUUAUGAGGCCCUUCCCUUU
rnacentral:RNase_P_RNA from 1 species